UACGUAUGGUGCAAGCGCUAUCCGGAUUUACUGGGCGUAAAGGGAGCGCAGGCGGCGCGCCGAGUCUGAUGUGAAACCCCGGGGCUCAACCCCGGGCAUGCAUUGGAAACUGGCGGGCUGGAGUGCCGGAGAGGUAAGCGGAAUUCCUAGUGUAGCGGUGAAAUGCGUAGAUAUUAGGAGGAACACCAGUGGCGAAGGCGGCUUACUGGACGGCAACUGACGCUGAGGCUCGAAAGCGUGGGGAGCAAACAGG
rnacentral:rRNA from 1 species